rnacentral:rRNA from 1 species
CGCAGCCGCGGUAAUUCCAGCUCCAAUAGCGUAUAUUAAAGUUGUUGCAGUUAAAAAGCUCGUAGUUGAAUUUCGGGAUUAGUAAGUUGGUCGUGCCUCUGGUAUGUACUGGCUUUACUGGUUCCUCCUUCUUGAAGAACUGUAAUGUCAUUAAUUUGGUGUUGCAGGGGAAACAGGACUGUUACUUUGAAAAAAUUAGAGUGUUUAAAGCAGGCUAACGCUUGAAUACAUUAGCAUGGAAUAAUGAAAUAGGACGUUUGAUCCUAUUUUGUUGGUUUCUAGGAUUGACGUAAUGAUUAAUAGGGAUAGUUGGGGGCAUUAGUAUUCAAUUGUCAGAGGUGAAAUUCUUGGAUUUUAUUGAAGACUAACUACUGCGAAAGCAUUUGCCAAGGAUGUUUUCAUUAAUCAAGAACGAAAGUUAGGGGAUCGAAGACGAUCAGAUACCGUCGUAGUCUUAACCAUAAACUAUGCCGACUAGGGAUCGGAUGAUGUUAAUUUUUAUGUACUCAUUCGGCGCCUU